UACGUAGGGGGCGAGCGUUGUCCGAAGUUACUGGGCGUAAAGCGCGCGUAGGCGGGUUGGUAAGUCCGCUGUGAAAGCCCGGAGCUUAACUCCGGAGGGUCGGUGGAUACUGCCAGUCUUGAAGGUGCUAGGGGGAGAUGGAAUUACCGGUGUAGCGGUGAAAUGCGUAGAUAUCGGUAGGAACACCAGUGGCGAAGGCGGUCUCCUGGGGCAUUCUUGACGCUGAGGCGCGAAAGCUGGGGGGAGCAAACGGG
rnacentral:rRNA from 1 species